GCGAACGGGUGAGGAACACGUAAGAAUCUGCCCCUCGGUCGGGGACAACUUUUGGAAACGAAAGCUAAUACCCGAUACGCUGUGGAGUGAAAGAAUUUCGCCGAGGGAUGAUCUUGCGUCUGAUUAGCUAGUUGGUGCGGUAAUGGCGCACCAAGGCGACGAUCAGUAGCUGGUCCGAGAGGAUGAACAGCCACAUUGGAACUGAGACACGGUCCAAACUCCUACGGGAGGCAGCAGUGGGGAAUUUUCCGCAAUGGACGAAAGUCUGACGGAGCGACGCUGCGUGAAGGAUGACGGCCUGCGGGUUGUAAACUUCUUUUCUCGAAGAAGAAGCUCUGACGGUAUUCGAGGAAUAAGCAUCGGCUAACUCCGUGCCAGCAGCCGCGGUAAGACGGAGGAUGCAAGUGUUAUUCGGAAUGAUUGGACGUAAAGCGUCUGUAGGCUGUAUAGAAAGUCUUUUGUUAAAUACCUCGGCUCAACCGAGAUCCAGCAAAGGAAACUUCUAUACUUGAGGUAA
rnacentral:rRNA from 1 species